rnacentral:rRNA from 1 species
UACGAAGGGGGCUAGCGUUGCUCGGAAUCACUGGGCGUAAAGGGUGCGUAGGCGGGUCUUUAAGUCAGGGGUGAAAUCCUGGAGCUCAACUCCAGAACUGCCUUUGAUAAUGAGGAUCUUGAGUUCGGGAGAGGUGAGUGGAACUGCGAGUGUAGAGGUGAAAUUCGUAGAUAUUCGCAAGAACACCAGUGGCGAAGGCGGCUCACUGGCCCGGUACUGACGCUGAGGUGCGAAAGCGUGGGGAGCAAACAGG